rnacentral:lncRNA from 1 species
UUUCCAAUAUUAUUUUCAUUUUCAUAGGGAAUUCCCCUAAAUCGGACAAAAUAUUGCCAGAAGAGGAAGAAAAAAAAGAAAAAUACAAGUUUGAUUGAACAGAUUCCAAACAAACAUGGAUUACCUUUAUUUUAUUUUGGUGAUUCUUGUGUUCCUGAAAGUGCUGUUCUGGAUAUUUUACUUUUAUGCUCGCUCGCAGCGUUUAAGGUCACGCAGAACUACACAGAGUUUAAGGUCAGGCAGAACUACACAGCGUAACUUUUUUGUGGUUGAAAGAACAAGACAAGUUGUAACUGGAAAUGGUGUCACUCAUGACCAAGCAGGGAUUGUACAGAAUGAAUACCCCCAUGCCUACACCAACCAAGCGGGACCCCAAAACUUCCCUGCACCACCAUCUUACACAGAGUGUGUGGGUCAGCCUCAGACUGACACCAAACCACCAUCUUAUGAGCAGGUGGUCCAAGGUCAAGCCUCGACCUACCCCACACCUCCCGCUACAGUCCCUCCCACAGCCACCGCCACACCAUUGGGUCAGCCAGGGGCACCCUCACCAAAUCCACUGUACGGCUACGAUCAGUAACAACAAGUGCUCAGAAUCACCUGCAAUCAUCCUACAUGUACAUUGCAUCAUUAUCUCAGACUUACCUGAUAACUCUCGGGAGUAUUGACACACAUGGUGUUGGACAGUGACGGUGCUACAUUACUCCAGUCUUAGCUUCACUCACCAGUGUAAUAAAUGGGAAGAAGCACUCUAGACGUAUAAGUCAUUUUGAUGUGUAACCUGACUCAAGGUCUACAGGGUAUACCUUUCCUAACCAUGGUUUGCUGGACCAGACCUGACCACCAGUGACGAGGAAUCAAUAUUCAAGAUACACCUUUGGUAGACUAUUGUUUUUAAACAUCAAUUAUUUGCUUUAGAACUUUUCAUUGUACUCUUACUUGUGCGUUUGAAAACUUUUACAUGCAUUUAAUUACAUCAAGUAACACAAAAAAAUCAAUUUGAAUUUUUAAUGGUACUAGAUCUGAAAGCUUUACCUUAUCAGGUUCUUUUUUUCUUGAAAUAUGCACAUAUAUUUGUCAGAUUUACACUGUGAUAUUGUGUGAUCCUGACAUUGUACAUACUACAUGUAUAUCUACUUUAUAUCCAAGUGGAAAUCAUCAGAUUGCUAUGGUGGUUUAAACAGACUACUACAAACUCUCAUUGUCACAUGUACACUCAGCGUCACCACAGAGUUAGAUAGCUAAUUCCUUAGUGUCACAGAAAAAAUUAGACGGUUGGUUAAAAUAUUCCUGGAUUGUUAAAACAUGAGAUGUUUGUCUAAUUUGAUUACAGGUGUCUUUUAAGUAGUUUAUAUCAGCUGUCUGUUUUAACAUGAAAUGAAAACAGUGAAAACAUAAACAGGCCUAUUCAUCAAAAUUAAACACAACUAUAUCUUCUGUUCAUUCUGUCUUCCUAUGACUUUCACUGUUACAAGGACAUUAAACAACCAAUUCUGUUCAUUUAAAAAAAAAAUCAAAUUGUUAUCCUCAUAACUUCAUUUUUUUUGGAUAUUCAUUGCAUAAAUAAUUGGCUCGGGAAUAUAGUACCAUCAUUAUACAAAUUUUUGUCAUUAAUUUUAGAUAUGGUACAAUUGUUUUGUCAUUAGUUUUAGAUAUGGUACUAUUGUUUUGUCAUUAGUUUUAGAUAUGUUACUAUUGUUUAGCUGUAGAUUGGUAUGUUGUUCCUUCAAUGCUGUUUUCAACUUCCUACAGAGUAAAUAGCAAAACCUUUGAUUCAGUGCUCGCUUGCUUUAUACUAAAGCGAAUGCUUGUGGUGGAUAUUUUGAACCGUGUCUGUUAAUAACAAGUAUGCAUAAACUUGAAAGGCAUGUUUGAGAUAUAUUUUUUGACAACAUGUAUUUUUGAAGAAGAGAUUUCAGAUAAGGUGUGUCACAUUCCAAUGAGUUGGUACAUAAAUGUGAAUUUUCUGCAGCUCUUCUAAACGAAUCAUAAUCUAUGUCAUAUUCACCUUAGCAAAACUUGAUUAUAUUAUAUUAUGGAAAGGAACAAGUUAAAAUACAAGAUAGCUAUAAUAUGCUGUGCUAUCCAUGGAAAAUGUUGCUAUUAGAAACACGUAGACCAAGCCAUGCAUGCAUGUAUAUUUUUUGCUUUUAUUAUUUUUAAUCAAAAAAUAUUUUGGAUGCAUUAGUAUAUAAAAUUUGAAAGCCAUUACUUUAAUAAUCAUAAUUAUUGUAGUUCUGAAUAGCAUCUAUGUUAUCUGUAUGACACCAGACAUCAUAGAGGUACUUUUCUCUUCAGUAGAAAACUAGGUACAAAUGAUCUUGAGUAGGUACAGAUAGGAAUUUGAUCAAGUUGUCAAUUUUCUAUUCAAUCAUUUGUCCAAUUAUUAAUUGUGUUUAAAAUUGAUGUGGUUCUAUUUUUCUUCUUCCUUUUUUAACAAGACCUGUGAUGUCUUUCCCAAUACUUCUUUUUGUCUCAAUUUGCAUUUCACUUCAUUAUCUACCAUUCAUCUCUGUUCUGAUUUAAAAUUCCUUCUAUUGAUGGUUGUGAUGUAAUAAGUUAUAUGAGAAGGCUCUUUUACCCUUUCAUCACUGUAGACUCAUCCAUAUGAAUGUAUGGCAGAUCAAGUCUACGUAAGUUACCUAGGGGUGAAAGGGUUAACAAGACACAUAUCUAAUAUCAUGUGAUGUAUGUCUAUAGUUCAUUUCUGUGUUGAUGUACCGGGUAUAGAUAAAUAUAUAUUGACUAAUUAGAAGGUAAUUACUGUAUCUGGCUUAACUAUUCCCAAUUAACAACAAUAUCACUAUCAUGUUCCAUUAAAGAUAUUUAUAUACUGUUGUCCGUUCUUACUUCACAACAAUAGGAUAUGUUAUAUAUGGGUGAUAGUUUGGGGUUUCUCAACAUUGUUACUCUAUUAUUGUGGUGGAAGUCAUGUUUAUCUAUCAUAUGUUGACAGAAACCAAGCUACAAAUAGUAAACAGAAUAUGAUAUGCAGCAUAGAUAAGUUGUGAAGAUAUACAUUAUUAUGUUGAUCAGAGGUAAAGUUUUUAUUUAAAAAACUAUAUUUGAGUGCACAUCUCAUUAAAAAGCUGUGCCCAUAUUGUGUUUACACCAUCCAGACAUCCUAGGUACAUGAUGUGUACAAUCAUGCAAUUUAACAAAUGUUUGCCCUGUUGUGUAAUUAUGUUUGCACUUAUGUGUAUUUUGUUACAUUGGUUGGUUAACAUUACGGACUGGAAAAAAACCACCCUGAAAGGCUAGAGUGCAGUAAGGUCAAAUGUAGGUGUUUCACUUCUGAUUUUUAUAUUUUGCAAUUUUGUAAUGUGUGUUUCUCAGUAGUACAGCAACUGUAAAACUACAAAAGUACAGUACCAGAACAGGAAGGGAACAUUCUGAUGAGUAACUUGGGUUUUGCCAGGCGAUAUGAUAUUAUAUAACAUUAAAAUUUUACAUUUAAAAUGAAAAUUGAAGAAGAAACAAGCCAAUUGAUUUCUCAAAAAUAUGUUUGUUUGCUGUAAAUUAAAGAAAUAUUAAGUUUUUUUUAUCACAAACCAUUCUUAAAUUUACAUCAACCAAGAUAGCAAUGCAUUUUUUUAUUUUUUUUUUUCCCCCAUGGUGUUCCCAGAUGUGCGCAAGACGUUAUGCUCAUGUUAUACUUAUCUGCACAUGGUGUGUUCAUUGCACAUUGUGUAAUGUUGUGCAAUUCUUCAACUGUAAUAUCAUGAAGAAUAAUACAGUUAUUCCCUGUGAAACAAUUAGGAGUUUUUUAAUGAUGAUGACAGUCAGUUUCUUGACUGAGGGAAGUUUUGAUGGGGAUAUCUGACGUUUGUAAAGUCUGUACAGACAUAUAUUUGCCCUUGUUGACUAAAAUUGAUCUCGUGUACACAUGUGAUGGCAUGUUAUCAAGAAAGUGAAUCUUAACCAUAGCAAUGUCUUAUCAUAACUAACAUGUCAUUUUUAGCUAAAUUUGUAGCUAUAUACUGUAGAAUGUACGAAGGAAAUGUAAAUAAUGUUACAACAACAACGAAAACAAUGAUCUAUUACUGAUAUAUUGAAAUUAAGGCAAAACUUUGCUUCCGAUUAUAUUUUAUUACACCCCAGCCCCAUCAAUGUAAUUGUUAAGUAGUGUUCAUGUGUCCUUAUAUGGUUUUAAUCCUCAGUGUCUUACUCCAGCAGAUCUAUAUAGAAACUUUAGUGGGUCAAUCAUUAUAGCCCUACAUGUGUGAUUCAGUGUUAUACAUUUGACAUUUAUGGGUCCGCUAUGUGUAAGUCUACAUUAUAAACAGUGUACUACCUGAAAAAUUAUAUUUUAAGAUCACUUGAUGGAACAUUGAUUUUUUAGUUCAGAAUCUUUGAUAUUUUUAAUAUCUGUGGAUAUACAGCGUAAGGUCCCUCAAGACAUGUAUUGGAAUCAUGUUUUUAAACUGAUCAUUCAUUGUACUUUCUGAUCCCCUUAGUUCACUUUGUACAAUUAAUGUUUGGCAAUAUUUAUAAAGUACCAUGAUAUAUCACAUCAGGUUUCCAUAUACGGUGAGGUACACAUCAGAAGUAGAAACAGAAUCAUAUCUACCAGUAUGUAGUUUAUUGUACUCAGAAUAUACAUGAUAUUAUAAUGUGUUCUUUGAAAUCCAUUCACAUGAUUGGUUCUAUCGAAAAAAAUAAUAAUUUUGAAAUAAAAGGGAAUAUGUGUAAUUUACCUUAGAUACAAGUCUUACAUAAGAAUACUUUUGAAAGAAGAAAGGUAUCUUGUUAAAUUGAUCAAGUACUUCAAUUAAAUACUAAGGUGUAUUGGUAUAUACAAUGUAUGUAGUGCUUAGUAGUAAUAAUUAAUACAAAUAGUUGCAGCUCCAUUUUUUGAUAUAGAUGUUUAAUCGUGUUGACAACACAUGUAUUGGGGAUACGAGACAGCUGACUAGUUGUGUAAGGAACACAUCACUACUACCGUAUCACCAGUGUGUAAUUACAAGUUAAUUACUUGUCACACGUAUUGGGGAUACGAGACAGCUGACUAGUUGUGUACGGAACACAUCACUACUACCGUAUCACCAGUGUGUAAUUACAAGUUAAUUACUUGUCACACGUAUUGGGGAUACAGGACAGCUGACUAGCUGGGUAAGGAACACAUCACUACUACUGUAUCAUCAGUGUGUAAUAACAAGUUAAUUACUUGUCACGUGUAUUGGGGAUACGAGACAGCUGACUAGUUGUGUACGGAACACAUCACUACUACCGUAUCACCAGUGUGUAAUUACAAGUUAAUUACUUGUCACACGUAUUGGGGAUACAGGACAGCUGACUAGCUGGGUAAGGAACACAUCACUACUACUGUAUCAUCAGUGUGUAAUAACAAGUUAAUUACUUGUCACAUGUAUUGGGGAUACGAGACCGCUGACUAGUUGUGUAAGGAACACAUCACUACUACCGUAUCACCAGUGUGUAAUUACAAGUUAAUUACUUGUCACACGUAUUGGGGAUACAGGACAGCUGACUAGCUGGGUAAGGAACACAUCACUACUACUGUAUCAUCAGUGUGUAAUAACAAGUUAAUUACUUGUCACAUGUAUUGGGGAUACGAGACCGCUGACUAGUUGUGUAAGGAACACAUCACUACGACUGUAUCACCAGUGUGUAAUAACAAGUUAAUUACUUGUCACACGUAUCCAUUGCCUUAGUAGUAUGUGGUAUUGAACAGGCUGUUUGUGUCUUGGCACCCAUAUUUUAGAUUACAUUAAAUUUGUACGAAACAACUUCUGUAAAUUCAAGUAUCGUGUAGUUUUUAAGAUAUACACUUGAGUAAAAAGUGAACUAUAGCCCUUCUGAAAAAUAUACAGAAAUGACAUAGUUGACAAAGUUAUAUUUACACAAAAUCAAAGUAAUCGGAGAACUGCCACACAUUAAGUUGUAUUGGAAUGUGUUAUACGGUGCCACUUAUACAACACACCUGUGGUUGCUGGUCGAGUGUGUUAAACCACAUAAAUGUCAUAUAUCACGAUGGUUAUAUUUUGCAUGUUAUAUAAAUAUAUAUAUGAUAAUAAAUUGUAAGAAGGUGCUUGCCAGUUUAAUAAAUAUAAUACAUUAACAGUUAUAUUUUAAUAGCUGUGGUCAGAAUACAGGCCGUAUUUGCUCGUGAUAUUUAUGUGGUAUUCAUUGCAUCAAACCUCUUCAACACACUCCAAUAUAAACAGUACAAUAUAAACAGUACAAUAGAAACACUCCAAUAUAAACAGUACAAUAUAAACACUCCAAUAUAAACACUCCAAUAUAAACAGUAAAAUAUAAACACUCCAAUAUAAACACUCCAAUAUAAAUACUCCAGUAUAAACAGUAAAAUAUAAACACUCCCAAUAUAAACACUCCAAUAUAAACAGUACAAUAUAAACACUCCAAUAUAACUUUGGGAUGGACCUCCUGCUCAUUUAGUUGUUCAUUGUUUGUUGAUGUGUACACAAUUUGAAAUACCUUAAACUGAAGUAUGGUUUUAUAGGAACCUAAUACCUCUCUAAUUAAUUGAUACCCUAGCUUUAUCUAUAAUAAUUGUACUUUUUUGGUUGAUUUUUUUCGGUCAUUUUUGAGUUUGAAAUAUUCAAGUAAAUACAUUGUAAUUAGCUAGCAAAGGCCCCUUUCAGUAAGAAUGAUUUAUAAUGCAUGCAGGUUAAUUUGAAAUUAAUACAAUUACACACAUAACACUGACUUACAUAGAAAUAUGUAACUGUUAAAUGCUACGAGGUUACAUCUACACAUUUAUGAUAAAGAGUUUAUCCUGGCUGUUUCCUUAACCGUCCAGACAUUUGAUGCAUUGAAUUCUGUGAUAAAUUGGCUUGGUUGUGGAAGGCUUGUGUAGUUUGUUUUAGCGUAGUGUUGUUGCCCUAAUUGUGUCUUUUACCAAUGUUUACGUACCUAUUGUUAAGUUUAUCUAAAGUUUAUUAACAUUUUAUAUAAUCGGAUAUUUUACUGGGAACAUUGUGUCCGACUACUACCUUCCCCAUUUAUUUCAGAAACUUACUAAUGUAGGAAUCAAUUUGGUUUAUUUCAACCAUUGUCAUUUUCACAAAGGGAACACUUUUUAGCAAUGGAUACAUAGUUUUGCGCAGCUGAAGGGGUAGAUAUAUAAUUUUCCAAUAUGCAAUUACUUUAACAUGUAAAUUGAAUUUGUUUCCUAAGGAAAUGUGUUCUAUAUUGAUGGUAUGGAUUAUUGAUUUGGUUUGGGUUCUUUGGUCACACUGUCUGUGAUGUAUGAUUUGUUCUGUCUGAAUUCUUUCAAUUGUCCUUUUGAUAUCAAAAAUAAUGACAAGAUGAAAAUUACAUUGUACAUCUGAAACAAACUAUUUUGGUGUUUAAAAGUAUCUUUUUUUGUAGAUACCAUUUUUUCUAAUUGUUUUUGAGAGGCUACAUUCUAUUGAUAUUUUUUUUUGUUGAAAUAUACAUUUCUCUUGAGAUUGACCAUAGCCUGUGUUUUACUGGAUACAGAGGAUUGCCUUGAUUUGUCACUUUGGUACAGUAUGAUGAAUAUAUGCUAGGAUUGUUUUGAACACAAACUUAACAUUAUCAAAAACUUGUUUCGCAAGCUUUUGAAAAUGCAUAUUUCCUUUGUCAAGCAAAGAGUGCAAAACAAAACCGUUUUCAAUUGCUGUUGUGUUCAAAACAAUCUUGUAAUAAUUCUUAGAUGUUUCUAUUUUUCAUCCUUUCCUCUGUCAUAUCUGUUCUCAAUUUUAAUUACUUUAUCACUGUUUUUUGCUUUUUGGAUUAAAAUGCUAUAACACUAUUAUGAUUAAGUUACCUGUAUCAUUUUUUGUCAUUUGCUAAUAACAUGUAUGCCCCUUUCAGUGGUACUCUUUGUGGUGCAAUUAAUAAAAUUGUUAAUAAUCAUAAAAAA